GCUGGUUCCCGGUUCGGGUCCGGGUCAGGCCGGUUUCGGCCGGUUCGGUCCAUUUGUUCAUGCCUAAUGGGAAGGGUAAAAGUUGUACAUACCCCAUUUGGGUUUUUUCUUGCUUUCUAAUUUGUUGAUUAACCAUUGUCUAAUUUUAGUGGAUGUCAAAGUGGAGUUGCAAAUAAAGCUAAGUAGUCAGAAAGCUAAUAUUAGUAAGUGGGUUGAGUUUUUCUUUAUUCCAACUUGACAAUAAACUAUACUUGUGGUCAAGUCUUUCUUAAAUAUUAUAUGCAUUAAAUUUUGCUGUCAAAUUUACCUUAAUUUUCGUUUAUAUUGUCCAACAUAUGACUUUUAAGUUUGCUGUAAAAUGUACAUGUAUGAACAUAUUGUAUUUUUUUGUGUCUUUAAAAGUGAUCAUGCAAACCUAAAACUUUAAGAGUCAGAGAAGAUUAUCAUGUUAUGUGCUGUGAAGAAUGAAGAUUACCGUUUAAAAUUCUUAAAGGCAGAGCAUUUUAUAAGAUCAAUACAUGUCUUUUGUUAUGUUGGAUUGACUAAUUGUUGGCACUAACGAGGUUUUUAUGUACAUACAAGAGAUAAUUAGGUGUCUUUGCUUAUGGAGUUUCAAAUGGGGGGAAUAUAAGAGAUGAUCAUUCACCACCUAACACCUUAUCUCUCUCUCUCUCUCACACACACACAUACACACACUGAUGCAGUGAAGGUGAGAAUCUGUAUAAAGAUUCGGUUUUGAGAGAAGGGGGUAUGUUUGAGGUUUGAUGAAGUAGUGUAUUUUGAAGAAUAUAAACUUAAACUUCCCAAAAAAGAGCAAUAAUUGCAGUUGAUUCCUAGCGUUGCUUCAUAGUAAAGCCAUAGAACUACUAAACAUUGGGAUGACGACUACUAGUGUGCAAGAGGAUAUUUUGAUUCUACUUCAAGACACAAUUAUCUCUUUGUUUCCAGGUAUAAUUUGUUGCAACUAUUUUAGCGAUGAGAAAUUAGAAGUUUAAUAGCACGUUCCAAACAAAAAGUACCUGUUCAAUUUCAACUUUCAAUGGUAUGCUUUAUUAUAGCAUCUUAUUUUUAUUUUUUUCAACUAGAACAUUGUAUAUUCACUUUCUUUUCUUAUUAAGGAUUGCACUUUGAAACUUUUCCCAGUUUACAAAGUUAUUUGUUUAUAUGGAAUUUUACUGGAUUGGAAGCUGAAAACAGGGGUAAAAGAGGAAAAAAUAACCAUAUUUGAUUGAAGUGGAGAUUUAAUGGUAUUGUGGAAGAAAAAGCCCACCAAAAAGUCAACUACACAGAAAAGUCAACAAGGUGCUGUAAAGAGUUCUGAACCAGAAACUGCAAGAAGGCGCAGAGACUCUCUUGAAAUGCAUGUUUGUCUGAAAAAUGACAUUUUUAACCUUGAAAACUUCACUUGCUCUAUGUUUUAUUUGUUACUUUUCACCAACAUGGUAAUUUCCUAUUGGCUUAUAUUCGACAAAUUACAAUGUAAUUUUUUUUUCAUUCCUUCCUAUUACAUAAUUGUAUUAAGAUCAUGCUUGACUAGGAGCAUAAAUUUAAGUGACUCCCAAUCUCUGCUUUCUGUUGAAUAAUUGUACGUACCACAUCACUUUUCUUUUCAAAAAAUAUA